CAGAGGCACGUACUGUACAAGCUCCUGUUACAGCCAUAGAAUCAUCUUGCAGCAGCUGAGCCCACAGGCUCUGUGCAAGAAAUCUUGCUGAAGAAAUCCCCUCUGCACGUGGCCAGCAGCCUGAAUCAGCCUUUUCUGGUGGAUGGUGAAACAGUGGAAAACCUCUGAAGGGAAUUGCUACCAUGGGGUUUGCCUGGCUGUGAGAAGCAAACCAAAUAGCAGGAAUACCUGAUGGAAGAGCUACGUUGGGACAGAAAUUGUACAGGCCUGUACAGCUGCAGAUUUUCAUCCAAAAGAAUAAACAACCAAA
rnacentral:lncRNA from 1 species